GUCUCGAUAGCUCAGUAAGCUCAACUCAAUCACCAACAUAUCAACUCCAACUAACAGGUAACAGGUGGUAGAGCGGAAGAUUGCAGUAACCACACCGCAACAUAUCUUCAGGCCAGGUGUUCGAACCACCUUCGGGACU